rnacentral:rRNA from 1 species
CACGUAGGGCGCAAGCGUUGUCCGGAAUUAUUGGGCGUAAAGAGCUCGUAGGUGGUUUGCUGCGUCCGCUGUGAAAACCCAAGGCUUAACCUUGGGCUUGCAGUGGAUACGGGCAGACUAGAGGUAGGUAGGGGAGAAUGGAAUUCCCGGUGUAGCGGUGAAAUGCGCAGAUAUCGGGAGGAACACCGGUGGCGAAGGCGGUUCUCUGGGCCUUACCUGACAUUGAGGAGCGAAAGCGUGGGGAGCGAACAGG